rnacentral:rRNA from 1 species
UACGAGGGGGGCAAAUGUUGUUCGGAAUCACUGGGCGUAAAGGGCGCGUAGGCGGCCUUGUCAGUCAGGCGUGAAAGCCCCGGGCUCAACCUGGGAACGGCGCUUGGGACGGCGAGGCUGGAGUUCGGGAGAGGAGAGUGGAAUUCCCAGUGUAGAGGUGAAAUUCGUAGAUAUUGGGAAGAACACCGGUGGCGAAGGCGGCUCUCUGGACCGACACUGACGCUGAGGCGCGAAAGCGUGGGGAGCAAACAGG